rnacentral:rRNA from 1 species
UAGGGAAUCUUCGGCAAUGGACGGAAGUCUGACCGAGCAACGCCGCGUGAGUGAAGAAGGUUUUCGGAUCGUAAAGCUCUGUUGUUAGAGAAGAACGAUGGUAGGAGUGGAAAAUCUACCAAGUGACGGUAACUAACCAGAAAGGGACGGCUAACUACGUGCCAGCAGCCGCGGUAAUACGUAGGUCCCGAGCGUUGUCCGGAUUUAUUGGGCGUAAAGCGAGCGGAGGCGGUUAUUUAAGUCUGAAGUUAAAGGCAGUGGCUUAACCUAUGUACGCUUUGGAAAAUUGAGGAUUUGAGUGCAGGAAGGGGGAGUGGAAUUGCAGGGUUAGCGGUGAAAUGCGUCAAAAAUUGGAGGAACAACGGUGGCGAAAGCGGCUCUCUGGUCUGUAAAUGAAGCUGAGGCUCGAAAGGGUGGGGAGGAAACAGG